UACAGAGGGUGCGAGCGUUAAUCGGAAUUACUGGGCGUAAAGCGCGCGUAGGCGGCUUUGCAAGUCGGGUGUGAAAUCCCCAGGCUUAACCUGGGAACUGCAUUCGAGACUGCAUUGCUAGAGUAUGGGAGAGGGAAGUGGAAUUUCCGGUGUAGCGGUGAAAUGCGUAGAUAUCGGAAGGAACAUCAGUGGCGAAAGCGACUUCCUGGACCAAUACUGACGCUCAGUGUGCGAAAGCGUGGGGAGCAAACAGG
rnacentral:rRNA from 1 species